rnacentral:rRNA from 1 species
GAUGAACGCUGGCGGCGUGCCUAAUACAUGCAAGUCGAGCGAACAGACGAGGAGCUUGCUCCUCUGACGUUAGCGGCGGACGGGUGAGUAACACGUGGAUAACCUACCUAUAAGACUGGGAUAACUUCAGGAAACCGGCGCUAAUACCGGAUAAUAUAUUGAACCGCAUGGUUCAAUAGUGAAAGACGGUUUUGCUGUCACUUAUAGAUGGAUCCGCGCCGCAUUAGCUAGUUGGUAAGGUAACGGCUUACCAAGGCAACGAUGCGUAGCCGACCUGAGAGGGUGAUCGGCCACACUGGAACUGAGACACGGUCCAGACUCCUACGGGAGGCAGCAGUAGGGAAUCUUCCGCAAUGGGCGAAAGCCUGACGGAGCAACGCCGCGUGAGUGAUGAAGGUCUUCGGAUCGUAAAACUCUGUUAUUAGGGAAGAACAAAUGUGUAAGUAACUAUGCACGUCUUGACGGUACCUAAUCAGAAAGCCACGGCUAACUACGUG